GCCGCGUUGGCUCAGUUGGUUAGAGCGCAGGUCUCAUACUAAUGUAUGACAAAUCCUGAGGUUUGGCAAUCCUGAGGUCGCAAGUUCGAGUCUUGCACGCGGCA